ensembl:lncRNA
GAGCCCGUUUGCUGCCUGUGCAGGUACUGAAGGGCAGGAGCUGGGAGGUGGCAGAGUCAGUUUCCUUGCCAGUCGUAAAGAUGCAAUUAUCACCCCUUGUUUGACCGAAGACUGUAAAAGGAGACUCAAUGACCACUAAUUUGUGGUUACUCCAGUGCUAGAAUGGACUCGGUGGUGGUGGCCUUUAGACUGGCAAUGCAGUAAAAGUUUAAAGCUGCAACUGCUUCGGAGCCAAAGAAAGAGAGAAGAUUGAAACCUAAAGGUUAGUGUGAAAUGCACUUUACUGUUAUCUAU